rnacentral:lncRNA from 1 species
GGCUUUUUCAACAUCAAGCUGGGACUGAGGCACAGCUUGCCCCCUAGAGGCAAGGAGGGGAAUUGUGGGGAAGAGCCAGGUGAGCCGAAAGGCAGAGGGGAAAAUCCACACACACAGAUGAGGACUAAGAAGUGGAUAAUGGAGCUCUGAGCACUCCAGUCAAGACCACGGCAAAUUUGGGAAGAGAAGACCUCUAAGAAAUUGCCUGGCAUGAUUGUUAAUAACGACAUAGUCCCUGAGAGAUUAAGAAAUCAGCUAGCAUUCCAAGGAACCCUGAGUUGUCUGCGUGGCUUUCUGUGUGAUGCCCGUGUUUGUGUCUCUUCCUGCUUCCUUGAAGAUGUGCACCUCCCUCAAUUGAUGGAGCCUUCUGCCUUUUAACCUCUUUAAAUAUCUCCUUUUCAUUUUGCAUUAUAGAAAGAUUUGAACAUAUACAUAAAUAGAAAAACUAGUAUAAUGAAGCCAGUGUACUUGACUUCAACAAAGAUCAUUAUUACAUGGAUAAUAUUCCAUUAUCUGUAUUCCCACCUAUCCCCAGCACCUGCAUUAUUUUGAAGUAAAUCUAAAAUGUCGUCUCAUUUCUUCUGUAAAUAUUUCUUAAGCAUUUCUAGCGAAUGAGGACUCUUUUAAAAAGCAUAACAGCAAUAUUAUCACACCUAGGUCAAUAGUGAUUCUUUAAUUAAGUAUCCAUUUGUUGCUCACAUUUUACUUUUUAAUUGUUUUAAUAUUUGAAUUGGUAUCCAACAAGGUC